UAUACUAGCUUUUCCUUCGUUAUUUUUCUUCUAUUUCUUUUCUUUUUCUUAUUUUUUUCUAGAAAGGGUUGAGGCGGUGCUUGCGGGGAAUGGACAAUCGUUUGACACGCUUACUAUUGGUUUCUUUCUUUUCUUACUCUCAUCAUCUGUAUAUUGCGUCUGUGAUAUGAGUUACAAAAACAAAAAAAACA
rnacentral:ribozyme from 1 species